rnacentral:rRNA from 1 species
UACAGAGGGUGCGAGCGUUAAUCGGAAUUACUGGGCGUAAAGCGUGCGCAGACGGUCAUGUAAGUCGGGUGUGAAAGCCCCGGGCUCAACCUGGGAAUUGCAUUCGAGACUGUGUGGCUAGGGUGCGGAAGAGGGAAGCGGAAUUUCCGGUGUAGCGGUGAAAUGCGUAGAGAUGUGGAGGAACACCAGUGGCGAAGGCGACUCUUUGGCCUGUAACUGACGCUGAGGCGCGAAAGCGUGGGGAGCAAACAGG